rnacentral:rRNA from 1 species
AUGCCUUAGUAACGGCGAGUGAAGCGGCAAUAGCUCAAAUUUGAAAGCUGGCCCCUUUGGGGUCCGCGUUGUAAUUUGUAGAGGAUGAUUCGGCGAGGGCUCCCGUCUAAGUCCCCUGGAACGGGGCGUCAUAGAGGGUGAGAAUCCCGUAUGUGAUGGGUUGCCUUAGCCAUGUGAAUCUCCUUCGACGAGUCGAGUUGUUUGGGAAUGCAGCUCUAAAUGGGAGGUAAAUUUCUUCUAAAGCUAAAUACCGGCCAGAGACCGAUAGCGCACAAGUAGAGUGAUCGAAAGAUGAAAAGCACUUUGGAAAGAGAGUUAAAAAGUACGUGAAAUUGUUGAAAGGGAAGCGCUUGCAGCCAGACUUGUCCGCAGUUGCUCAACCGGUCUCCUGACCGGUGUACUCUUCUGCGGCCAGGCCAGCAUCAGUUCGGGCGGUCGGAUAAAGGCCUCGGGAAUGUAGCUCCUCUCGGGGAGUGUUAUAGCCCGGGGCGGAAUGCGGCCAGCCUGGACUGAGGAUCUCGCUUCGGCUAGGAUGCUGGCGUAAUGGCUGUAAGCGGCCCGUCUUGAAACACGGACCAAGGAGUCUAACAUCUAUGCGAGUGUUUGGGUGUCAAACCCAUACGCGUAAUGAAAGUGAACGGAGGUGGGAACCCUCACGGGUGCACCAUCGACCGAUCCUGAUGUCUUCGGAUGGAUUUGAGUAAGAGCAUAGC